UACGGAGGAUGCGAGCGUUAUCCGGAUUUAAUGGGUUUAAAGGGUGCGUAGGCGGACUGUCAAGUCAGCGGUAAAAUUGAGAGGCUCAACCUCUUCCCGCCGUUGAAACUGGUGGUCUUGAGUGGAUGAGAAGUACGCGGAUGCGUGGUGUAGCGGUGAAAUGCAUAGAUAUCACGCAGAACUCCGAUUGCGAAGGCAGCGUACCGGCAUCCAACUGACGCUGAGGCACGAAAGCGUGGGGAUCAAACAGG
rnacentral:rRNA from 1 species